AACGAACGCUGGCGGCAGGCUUAACACAUGCAAGUCGAACGCCCCGCAAGGGGAGUGGCAGACGGGUGAGUAACGCGUGGGAAUCUACCCAGAUCUACGGAACAACAGUUGGAAACGACUGCUAAUACCGUAUACGCCCUACGGGGGAAAGAUUUAUCGGAUUUGGAUGAGCCCGCGUAAGAUUAGCUAGUUGGUGGGGUAAUGGCCUACCAAGGCGACGAUCUUUAGCUGGUCUGAGAGGAUGAUCAGCCACACUGGGACUGAGACACGGCCCAGACUCCUACGGGAGGCAGCAGUGGGGAAUAUUGGACAAUGGGCGCAAGCCUGAUCCAGCCAUGCCGCGUGAGUGAUGAAGGCCUUAGGGUUGUAAAGCUCUUUCAGUAGGGAAGAUAAUGACGGUACCUACAGAAGAAGCCCCGGCUAACUUCGUGCCAGCAGCCGCCGUAAGAC
rnacentral:rRNA from 1 species